UUGAUCCUGGCUCAGAAUCAACGCUGGCGGCGCGCUUAACACAUGCAAGUCGCACGAGAAAGUGGAGCAAUCCAUGAGUAAAGUGGCGCACGGGUGAGUUACACGUGGAUCAUCUACCUUCUAGUGGGGAAUACCCUUGGGAAACCGGGUAUAAUACCGCAUAAGCUCGAAAGAGGAAAGCAGCAAUGCGCUGGAAGAGUAGUCCGCGGCUGAUUAGCUAGUUGGCGGGGUAACGGCCCACCAAGGCGAUGAUCGGUAGCCGGCCUGAGAGGGCACACGGCCACACUGGCACUGAAACAUGGGCCAGACUCCUACGGGAGGCAGCAGUGGGGAAUCUUGCACAAUGGGGUAAACCCUGAUGCAGCGACGCCGCGUGAGCGAUGAAGCCCUUCGGGGUGUUAAGCUCUUUCGACGGGAACGAUAAUGACGGUACCCGAAGAAGAAGCUGCUGCUAACUACGUGCCAGCAGCCGCGGUAAUU
rnacentral:rRNA from 1 species